GGUUAAGCGACUAAGCGUACACGGUGGAUGCCCUGGCAGUCAGAGGCGAUGAAGGACGUGCUAAUCUGCGAUAAGCGUCGGUAAGGUGAUAUGAACCGUUAUAACCGGCGAUUUCCGAAUGGGGAAACCCAGUGUGAUUCGUCACACUAUCAUUAACUGAAUCCAUAGGUUAAUGAGGCGAACCGGGGGAACUGAAACAUCUAAGUACCCCGAGGAAAAGAAAUCAACCGAGAUUCCCCCAGUAGCGGCGAGCGAACGGGGAGGAGCCCAGAGCCUGAAUCAGUGUGUGUGUUAGUGGAAGCGUCUGGAAAGGCGCGCGAUACAGGGUGACAGCCCCGUACACAAAAAUGCACAUAUUGUGAGCUCGAUGAGUAGGGCGGGACACGUGGUAUCCUGUCUGAAUAUGGGGGGACCAUCCUCCAAGGCUAAAUACUCCUGACUGACCGAUAGUGAACCAGUACCGUGAGGGAAAGGCGAAAAGAACCCCGGCGAGGGGAGUGAAAAAGAACCUGAAACCGUGUACGUACAAGCAGUGGGAGCCUCUUUUAUGGGGUGACUGCGUACCUUUUGUAUAAUGGGUCAGCGACUUAUAUUCUGUAGCAAGGUUAACCGAAUAGGGGAGCCGAAGGGAAACCGAGUCUUAACUGGGCGUUAAGUUGCAGGGUAUAGACCCGAAACCCGGUGAUCUAGCCAUGGGCAGGUUGAAGGUUGGGUAACACUAACUGGAGGACCGAACCGACUAAUGUUGAAAAAUUAGCGGAUGACUUGUGGCUGGGGGUGAAAGGCCAAUCAAACCGGGAGAUAGCUGGUUCUCCCCGAAAGCUAUUUAGGUAGCGCCUCGUGAAUUCAUCUCCGGGGGUAGAGCACUGUUUCGGCAAGGGGGUCAUCCCGACUUACCAACCCGAUGCAAACUGCGAAUACCGGAGAAUGUUAUCACGGGAGACACACGGCGGGUGCUAACGUCCGUCGUGAAGAGGGAAACAACCCAGACCGCCAGCUAAGGUCCCAAAGUCAUGGUUAAGUGGGAAACGAUGUGGGAAGGCCCAGACAGCCAGGAUGUUGGCUUAGAAGCAGCCAUCAUUUAAAGAAAGCGUAAUAGCUCACUGGUCGAGUCGGCCUGCGCGGAAGAUGUAACGGGGCUAAACCAUGCACCGAAGCUGCGGCAGCGACACUAUGUGUUGUUGGGUAGGGGAGCGUUCUGUAAGCCUGUGAAGGUGUGCUGUGAGGCAUGCUGGAGGUAUCAGAAGUGCGAAUGCUGACAUAAGUAACGAUAAAGCGGGUGAAAAGCCCGCUCGCCGGAAGACCAAGGGUUCCUGUCCAACGUUAAUCGGGGCAGGGUGAGUCGACCCCUAAGGCGAGGCCGAAAGGCGUAGUCGAUGGGAAACAGGUUAAUAUUCCUGUACUUGGUGUUACUGCGAAGGGGGGACGGAGAAGGCUAUGUUGGCCGGGCGACGGUUGUCCCGGUUUAAGCGUGUAGGCUGGUUUUCCAGGCAAAUCCGGAAAAUCAAGGCUGAGGCGUGAUGACGAGGCACUACGGUGCUGAAGCAACAAAUGCCCUGCUUCCAGGAAAAGCCUCUAAGCAUCAGGUAACAUCAAAUCGUACCCCAAACCGACACAGGUGGUCAGGUAGAGAAUACCAAGGCGCUUGAGAGAACUCGGGUGAAGGAACUAGGCAAAAUGGUGCCGUAACUUCGGGAGAAGGCACGCUGAUAUGUAGGUGAAGUCCCUCGCGGAUGGAGCUGAAAUCAGUCGAAGAUACCAGCUGGCUGCAACUGUUUAUUAAAAACACAGCACUGUGCAAACACGAAAGUGGACGUAUACGGUGUGACGCCUGCCCGGUGCCGGAAGGUUAAUUGAUGGGGUUAGCGCAAGCGAAGCUCUUGAUCGAAGCCCCGGUAAACGGCGGCCGUAACUAUAACGGUCCUAAGGUAGCGAAAUUCCUUGUCGGGUAAGUUCCGACCUGCACGAAUGGCGUAAUGAUGGCCAGGCUGUCUCCACCCGAGACUCAGUGAAAUUGAACUCGCUGUGAAGAUGCAGUGUACCCGCGGCAAGACGGAAAGACCCCGUGAACCUUUACUAUAGCUUGACACUGAACAUUGAGCCUUGAUGUGUAGGAUAGGUGGGAGGCUUAGAAGUGUGGACGCCAGUCUGCAUGGAGCCGACCUUGAAAUACCACCCUUUAAUGUUUGAUGUUCUAACGUUGACCCGUGAUCCGGGUUGCGGACAGUGUCUGGUGGGUAGUUUGACUGGGGCGGUCUCCUCCUAAAGAGUAACGGAGGAGCACGAAGGUUGGCUAAUCCUGGUCGGACAUCAGGAGGUUAGUGCAAUGGCAUAAGCCAGCUUGACUGCGAGCGUGACGGCGCGAGCAGGUGCGAAAGCAGGUCAUAGUGAUCCGGUGGUUCUGAAUGGAAGGGCCAUCGCUCAACGGAUAAAAGGUACUCCGGGGAUAACAGGCUGAUACCGCCCAAGAGUUCAUAUCGACGGCGGUGUUUGGCACCUCGAUGUCGGCUCAUCACAUCCUGGGGCUGAAGUAGGUCCCAAGGGUAUGGCUGUUCGCCAUUUAAAGUGGUACGCGAGCUGGGUUUAGAACGUCGUGAGACAGUUCGGUCCCUAUCUGCCGUGGGCGCUGGAGAACUGAGGGGGGCUGCUCCUAGUACGAGAGGACCGGAGUGGACGCAUCACUGGUGUUCGGGUUGUCAUGCCAAUGGCACUGCCCGGUAGCUAAAUGCGGAAGAGAUAAGUGCUGAAAGCAUCUAAGCACGAAACUUGCCCCGAGAUGAGUUCUCCCUGACCCUUUAAGGGUCCUGAAGGAACGUUGAAGACGACGACGUUGAUAGGCCGGGUGUGUAAGCGCAGCGAUGCGUUGAGCUAACCGGUACUAAUGAACCGUGAGGCUUAACCUU
rnacentral:rRNA from 1 species